UACAGAGGGGGCAAGCGUUAUUCGGAAUUAUUGGGCGUAAAGGGCGCGUAGGCGGCCAUUCAAGUGACGGGUGAAAGCCCUCGGCUUAACCGAGGAACUGCCUGUCAGACUGGAUGGCUUGAGACCGGGAGAGGUGAGUGGAUUUCCCAGUGUAGCGGUGAAAUGCGUAGAUAUUGGGAGGAACACCAGUGGCGAAGGCGGCUCACUGGACCGGAACUGACGCUGAGGCGCGAAAGCGUGGGGAGCAAACAGG
rnacentral:rRNA from 1 species